CAGUGCACAGGACAGCUCCCACAGUACAGAAUUAUACAGGGGCUGCUGAGCAAAAAUCAGACAUUCAAGGGAGCCAAGAUUUGAGUGGGAUCACCCUGAAUUAUUGUGAAGAAGAUCCAGAGAAGAGAAACUAGCCAGACUCUGAGACCAGAUCUGGAGGAGGGAAAAGGCAGGGAGGCAGAGAAACAUCCUUUUUUAAAAAUUAUUUUUAUUGUUUUAGAAAGAAAGAGCAUGAGCAGAGGGACAGAGAGAGAGAAAGAGAGAGAGACAGAGAGAGACAGAGAAUCUCAAACAGGCUCCAUGUUCAGUGUGGAGCCCGAGUCAGGGCUCGAUCCCACAACCCAGUUGGUUGAGUCUGGUGGUCUGAUCCCAGACUCUGUUGCUUGAGUCUGAUGCUCAACCAGCUAAGCCACCCAGGUGCCCCGGCAGAGAAAGAUCCUUAAGGCAACAUGCCUGCCCCAUUCAAACUACCCCCAGAAAUUCCAAACUCCUUUGAAAGGAGUAGGAAUGAAAAUGUCUUUGAAAGGAGUAGUGCAAGAAAUGAAAAACGAAGAGAGCCCAAGAAUGGGGAAGUCAUUCUAGUCUGUGACAUCACAGGCAGGGCACCAGGAAGGGUGUGGACAACUGCAGCCUGGCUCUUACCUCUGAGGACUGGAACCCCUGGUGGGUCUCCGCCUGUCUCCACCAUGGGCUCCGGCCUCCUCUGCUGUGUGGUCCUCUGCCUCCUGGGAGCAGCCCCCCUGGACACAUCAGUUUCCCAGACUCCCAAAUACCUCAUCACACAGAUGGGAACUGAGAAGUUCCUACAAUGUGAACAAAAGCUGAGCCAUGAUGCUAUGUACUGGUAUAAGCAGGAUUCCAAGAAAUUGCUGAAGAUCAUGUUUGCCUACAAUAAUAAGGAACUCAUUCACAAUGAAACAGUUCCAAGGCGUUUCUCACCUGAAUCUCCUGACAAAGCUCGUUUAAACCUUCGUGUCAGCGCCCUGGAGACAGGUGACUCUGCCGUGUAUCUCUGUGCCAGCAGCCAACACAGCGUUGCAGAGUCACUGCCUCCCUGUGCACAAACCCCCUGGCCCAGCCAGGAAGCUGCGGAAGGGGCUAUGUCUUGACCCUGAGGCUCCAUUCACCCCCGUGAGACCCCUAGACUGGAGUUUCCAGUCUGUAGUACAGGCUGCCCAUACACCCGGUGAGGUUCUUCUUUAUUUAUGCCCACAGAAGUCUCCCAGAAUUCUACUUAUCAGCUAGAGCAGGGGUUUCCAGUAAAUUCACGGAAGUACUCAGGAUUUCAGAAACAAGAAGAUCUUAACUGGUGGAAGAAGCCCUUCCUUGAAUUUGUUUGCUGAUACUUACUGUACAAACAUUAUGACCGAAAACACGCUAUUCACUAAAAUUGUCCCAUGAGCAAAAGCCUAGAGGAAAGUGGGGUGAAGACAAACGUUUCUAAGACCACAGGAAACUUCAGAUUAUUAAUGAGUGCACGGGUGAAUAGAAAAAUAUUUGGAGAAGCAUGAAAGUUCAUGGCAGUAGGUAAACUAGAGAGAAAGAAAGACAAUAUAGAAUAGAAACUCUGGAUUGCUUAUGUUCUCCUAAACACCCACAGGGGUAGGCUUGUGCACUACAGACUCCUCCUCCAGGAGGGCUGACCGGGGCGAUUCUUCCCAAGUCUGACCGAGUAGCAUCUUGAAGAUUCCUCCAGAAUAGGCAGUACCCAGGUGGCAGAGGACAUUGAACAUUGAAAGGACUUUCUACACAAAUCUGUAUGCGGUAGCUAGUUGUUGGCCCUACCUUAAGCGAGAUAACAU